UACGUAGGGUGCAAGCGUUAAUCGGAAUUACUGGGCGUAAAGCGUGCGCAGGCGGCUUUGCAAGACAGAUGUGAAAUCCCCGGGCUCAACCUGGGAACUGCGUUUGAAACUACAAGGCUAGAGUGUGGCAGAGGGGGGUGGAAUUCCACGUGUAGCAGUGAAAUGCGUAGAGAUGUGGAGGAACACCGAUGGCGAAGGCAGCCCCCUGGGUUAACACUGACGCUCAGGCACGAAAGCGUGGGGAGCAAACAGG
rnacentral:rRNA from 1 species